rnacentral:rRNA from 1 species
GAUGAACGCUGGCGGCGUGCCUAAUACAUGCAAGUCGAGCGAACGGACGAGAAGCUUGCUUCUCUGAUGUUAGCGGCGGACGGGUGAGUAACACGUGGAUAACCUACCUAUAAGACUGGGAUAACUUCGGGAAACCGGAGCUAAUACCGGAUGAUAUUUUGAACCGCAUGGUUCAAAAGUGAAAGACGGUCUUGCUGUCACUUAUAGAUGGAUCCGCGCUGCAUUAGCUAGUUGGUAAGGUAACGGCUUACCAAGGCAACGAUGCAUAGCCGACCUGAGAGGGUGAUCGGCCACACUGGAACUGAGACACGGUCCAGACUCCUACGGGAGGCCGGAGUAGGGAAUCUUCCGCAAUGGGCGGAAGCCUGACGGAGCCAAGGCGCGUGAGUGAUGAAGGUCUUCGGAUCGUAAAACUCUGUUAUUAGGGAAGAACAUAUGUGUAAGUAACUGUGCACAUCUUGACGGUACCUAAUCAGAAAGCCACGGCUAACUACGUG